GCUACAUACUUCUAAACUCAGUUUCUGUAAUUUACAUUCCCCAGCACGCUCCCCGAGCGCGAAGGGCCUAUUAUCGCGAGAAACCGCCGAGCCAGGUGGGGGGCGAGGGGAGGCUUCAGUUGCAAUGGAUUCCCAGCACCCUUAGCGAAUUCCCGAUUCCCUUACUGCGCAUGGUACGGCGCAGGCGCAAUAGAGAUACCUUGACUUACGCGCGCUUCAGAAGGUAUAAAUAAGGAUGCCUUGGGGGUUGCUCGGUCCUUUCGAGAAUGCAAGCUGCGCUGUGUUAGAGUUGGUGAGUGUUUUUACCCGCUCGAUUCGUUAGCUCUACGUCUAGUCUCUCAGGCCAGCCAACCAGCUUUUCCUGUGGACAUCGUACUAUUUAGAAGGAUUCUUCUCAGCGGUGUCUGUACUAACUACACUUAUUUGUGCAGCGGGGCUGGGCCGGAUGUAGGCCGCGGAGGCCUUGCGAGCCGCGCGCGGGUCUUACCCAUAGCGGAGGAGCGCGAGCGCCGAAACCUCCAGCGCUGUUACCUCCCGCGUCGGGACGCUAAAUGCGCGGCCCGCCCUCUCGCUAUUGACCAUCGCCGGUUUAUUAACUUGCCUCCUAGGAGGCAGUGGAGUUGCACGGAAGACAUUUUAUUUCUGACCCCCAUCCGAGUUCCAGAAUUGAUUUCGAAACGGACGGAUCUUAAUCCUGCUGCUAGUUGAUUUGUGAUGUAGGGUGGUUUCACGACUGUAGAUCAGUUUAUACAUAACGAGGCAUAACUGUGGUCUCGGCUCUGCAUUUUUCUGGCAGUAGUGCUAAUCGCCUGUUGGGGUUUAUAGAUAGGUUUGGGGUAUCUGGUUGGCAGUUCAUUUAGAUUACUGGCAUGAGACUGCUGAUAACUCGAAUUUCGUUGCCAGUUUGGAGUUCAGGUUUCACCUGGGAAAUUGGGGAAGUCGUCAGCUGGUUGAAACUUGUUUCUAGCUCAGUAGUCUGCAAGUUAAGUAAAUUACAGUGACCAACGUGGAUACUCUCGGGAGGUCACUCUCCCCGGGCUCUGUCCAGGUGGCGUAGGGGAGCAUAGGGCUCUGCCCCGUGACGUACAGUCCCUUUCCACGACGUUGGAGAUGAAGCCGGGCCUUGAGUCUGCGCCUGCAUAUUCCUACAGCUUCUCAGAGUCCUGUGGACGAUGACUGAGGAGACAAACCAUGCAGGAAACAGCUCUUAGAGCACCCCCUAUCUGGAGCUAGAUUGAUCGGAAAUGAAAGAAAGUUCUGCUCGUAAUCAGCUGCUGUUCUACUGGAUUAAGCUCUUACCUACCUUGUUUUGCAGCAGUUGCUCAGGAUUCCAGAUAAUUUGAUUUGGGGAUUGAAGAGGAGCCUCACCUUACAUUGGCAGUCGAGACUUUAUGCUUUGGGGUACUUUAUUUACUUGGCAGGAACAGUUGGUGAAGUGGAUGAUAAAUGUUUUUGUAAGCUAAGCCUGGAGGUUUAGAAGCUUGAGCACAUUUGACCCCUUGUUAAAACUGCCCUUAAGAGAAAAUCAAGGGGGAACAGUAGGUUUUUAAGCUUAUUUUAAGAGAGAGCAAGUAUGUGGGAGGGGCAGAGGGGGAGAGAAUCCCAAACAGGCUCUACCCUAUCAGCAUGGAGCCUCAACUGAGAUCAUGACCUGAGCAGAAAUCAAGAGUCUGACUGAGCCACCCGGCACCCUGAUCCAUGUGUUUCUGAUGUACUUCUGGAUUACAAUAAAGAUGACUGCAUA